rnacentral:rRNA from 1 species
CCUACGGGAGGCAGCAGUAAGGAAUAUUGCGCAAUGGGCGAAAGCCUGACGCAGCGACGCCGCGUGGGGGAUGAAGGUCUUCGGAUUGUAAACCCCUUUCGGGAGGGAAGAUGGAAUGAGCAAUCAUUCGGACGGUACCUCCAGAAGCAGCCACGGCUAACUUCGUGCCAGCAGCCGCGGUAAUACGAAGGUGGCAAGCGUUGUUCGGAUUUACUGGGCGUACAGGGAGCGUAGGCGGUUUAGUAAGCCCUUUGUGAAAUCUCCAGGCUUAACCUGGAACAGUCGGAGGGGACUGCUAAGCUAGAGUACGGGAGAGGAGCGCGGAAUUCCCGGUGUAGCGGUGAAAUGCGUAGAGAUCGGGAGGAAGGCCGGUGGCGAAGGCGGCGCUCUGGAACGUUUCUGACGCUGAGGCUCGAAAGCGUGGGGAGCAAACAGGAUUAGAUACCCUGGUAGUCCACGCCUUAAACUAUGAAUACUAAGUGUCGGCGGUUUACCGCCGGUGCCGCAGCUAACGCAUUAGAUUCCGCCUGGGAAUCGGCGCAAGGUUGAACUCAAAG